rnacentral:rRNA from 1 species
CCUACGGGUGGCAGCAGUGAGGAAUAUUGGUCAAUGGACGAGAGUCUGAACCAGCCAAGUAGCGUGAAGGAUGACUGCCCUAUGGGUUGUAAACUUCUUUUAUUUGGGAAUAAAAUGUUCCACGUGUGGGAUUUUUUAUGUACCAUAUGAAUAAGGAUCGGCUAACGCCUUGCCCGCAGCCGCGGUAAUACGGAGGAUCCGAGGGUUAUCCGGAUUUUUUUGGUUUAAAGGGAGCGUAGGUGGAUUGUUAAGUCAGUUGUGAAAGUUUGCGGCUCAACCGUAAAAUUGCAGUUGAAACUGGCAGUCUUGAGUACAGUAGAGGUGGGCGGAAUUCGUGGUGUAGCGGUGAAAUGCUUAGAUAUCACGAAGAACUCCGAGUGCGAAGGCAGUUCACUGGACUGCAACUGACACUGAGGCUCGAAAGUGUGGGUAUCAAACAGGAUUAGAUACCCGUGUAGUC